rnacentral:rRNA from 1 species
GACAGAGGGGGCAAGCGUUGCUCGGAAUUACUGGGCGUAAAGGGCGCGUAGGCGGGAUGGCAAGUCGGUCGUGAAAUCCUUCGGCUCAACCGAAGAACGUCGAUCGAUACUGCUGUUCUUGAGGAUUGCAGAGGAGACUGGAAUUCCCGGUGUAGCGGUGAAAUGUGUAGAGAUCGGGAGGAACACCGGUGGCGAAGGCGGGUCUCUGGGCAGUAACUGACGCUGAGGAGCGAAAGCGUGGGGAGCGAACAGG